ACCGUAUAUGUUGAAAUCCCUAAUUUUUUUGCAAUUGCUCUUUGAGAAACGUUGUUCAUAAACUGUUUGACUAUUUGCUCUCGCAGUUGUGGACAAGUUUGACUUGUGACAUUAAAAACAGGGUUGACUUUAAAGUGAUGGGGGAAGUUGAAGUCUGACCGCAUUUGGGUUGAUACCCCCCUCCACCACUAAAGGACAGGGGCGGAGCUAGAGGGGAGGCCGGGGUAGCACUGGACCCCCCUGAAAUCUGAUUGGACCCCCCCAGGUGCCACCCCAGAUGAUUGACAUAUCGCGGCACCGCACGUCUUGUCGGAAGGAGCCAGUUGCAUUUUUAAAUCAGUGAAGCCUAUUGACUGCUAAGUCCCUCCUGUACAGUAACUGGCGCUAUGCACCACAAAGCGUUGAGAGCCACGUUCAUUAAGGGAGAAGAAGAAGAAUCGCUACUGAAGAAGAGGAAGAUUUGAACUGGAGUCGGUUAUCGUUGCUGGAGACCGGAGAGCCGGAGAUCAACAAAGUUACAAAAGAAAGAAGGAUAACCUUCUCUUCGUAAAGUAAGUUUUACGGUGGUGUCCUAAUGAGUCACUGUUUAAAAUAACUUUUGUAGAUAGAAGUUUUUUUUCUACAAGCAGAGAGCCACGACAUCAAGCAAACGUUAACGACGUUGCAUCUCAUGGCGUCUUGCUUCCAACAGCCGCUAAUGUCUCGUUUGAUUCAUUUGGUCGCUAUUUAUAUUUACGUGUUUCUCCCAAUAAUUCUAGAGGAAUGAACCUAGCGGAGAAUCAGCCAGCCAGCUAGCUGUUUCAUGCUCUGUUGUAACGUAACGUUCACAAAGUAGUUAGCCUGCUGCCAACUAACUGAAAAGUCUUAAUAUUAAACAUAAGUCUACAGUGGUUUAUUUGCCCUGACAUGUUUUAGGCUUGAAGUGGAGAUUUAAUAACACUGUGUGAUUGUAAGUGAUGCCAGGAGUAACGUUAACAGGACUGGCUUAUUUUUUCAUUGGGUCAGUUGAGAAUGAAAAGGCAGGGGGAGAAGAUUUAUGAACUAUUCUAAAAAGAAGCAAGUCAGGGUCAGGAAUAGAUGAGGCAGACAGCCAGGAUUCAGGUCUGCCAGCAGUCCUGGCAGCUGCCAUCCUGGGACGAGUCAGGAGGAGAGAGAAUGUGAUGCACACAGCCCAUCAUCACCAGGUCAGAGCAUAGAAGCAGUCACAUGCUCACUUAAGUAAUUUGAAGUUACAGGGUUCCUACGCUAGUAUGGAAACUUUGGAAUUUAUACAUUUCCAGGUCUGUAGUAACAUGGAAGAUGGAAACAAUUGUAUGAAAAUAUAUUUAUACUGAUCUGAGUUAUCUUAAGAUUUGUGGGUUAAUUAUUUUGCAUACACUACCUAUCUACAAUCUUCUGGAAAUAAUUUGGUGACUUAAUGGCAUACAAAUUCAAUAAUGAUAACAAAUGAUUUCCAUGAUGAAUUGCAUAAUCUAUUCACAUGAUAUACUCAUCUCAAAUGUCACAAAUUAUUGGAUUCUUUUUUAGAUUAUUUUUUUUACUGAGAAGUCUGGGAAUUAGGGUCUGGACAUUUCAAAUGUGUAGGAACCCCUAAGUUUAUUUUUAGAUAUUUUGAAGUGUUGGUUACUGAUGUGUGUUGUUUUUUGAUGGUGGUUGUAUGUUAAUUUUGCUUACACUAAUAUUUUAAUUUUUAUACAAUGUAGUUCAAUUAGACACAGAAGGAAAAGAUGGCAGCUCCCUUCUUGGGACUAGUCGGGAGAGAGAACUGACAACACAGCACAGCCCAUCUUCACCAGUUCCAUCGAAUGAGGACACAGAGGCCACUGACUCUAAUGAGGAUGUCGAUGAGCAACAAGAGACAGACCCAGAGCCAGCUGUCUCCAGCACUUUUGCUCAUCCAAGAGGACCCAGUGAUAUUUCCAGAUGCAAAGAGGAGGGACCUGUUCAGCCUUGUCUGACACAAUUGCUGUUGUUACUCCAGUCAGCACUGCUUCUUGUGAGAGAAACUUCUCUGCUUUAAAACUGAUUAAAACUCAUCUCAGAACAACAAUGGCUGAUGACAGUUUAAGUCACCUUGGAACUCUCAGUAUUGAGUCAAGGAGGUCACGUGCCCUUAACAUGGAUGACUUUGUGAAACAUUUUGCGGCUUCUCACCAUAACCUAGUACCAACCUCGUCACGUCUGUUGUGUCCUGAGCAAGACACUUCACCCUUGCUCCUGAUGGGUUCUGGUUGGCGCCUUGCAUGGCAGCUCCCUCCAUCAGUGUGUGAAUGUGUGUGUGAAUGGGUAAAUGUGGAAGUAAUGUCAAAGCGCUUUGAGUACCUUCAAGGUAGAAAAGCGCUAUACAAGUACAACCCAUUUAUCAUUUAUUAUUAUGCUUUUCUAAACCUUUUCUGAGAGAGACAGACAGAGAGAACUAUGAAUGUGUUGGUGCAUUUUCACCAUCUUUGUAAAAAAUAGUUAUUAUUAAUUACUAGUUCUUGAAAAAUUGUUGCCAAGUUGUGUUUUACAUUU